CUUGCCCACAGCAUCUGGCGAAGGGAAACCCAGAUGUCCACACGUUAAAUCUUUGGUGGUGCAGCAUUUCCUAAGAGGCUAAAGAUAGCCCUCUCCCCCCUCUGGAAUCCUCUUUCAAACCUCUGGCAUUCAUUUUUCAAGUUCUGAUGCUCAUGAGCAGGUUUGAAAGCUUUAGCAUCUCCCCUUCCUAAAAUUAACAUGGCAAGAAUUUCCAAGUGGUCUGGGGUUGACAGCACUCAGCACCUGCAAGGGUAAGCUCCCUUGCAAGAGAGGCCUUGGGGAAUUUCCACAGAGACAGUUCCAAGAGAAAUAAAUUGUGGU
rnacentral:lncRNA from 1 species